rnacentral:siRNA from 1 species
CUAAUCAAAAUCUGCUACUUACUA